UACGAAGGGGGCUAGCGUUGCUCGGAAUCACUGGGCGUAAAGGGCGCGUAGGCGGGGAGGUAAGUCGGGUGUGAAAUCCCUCGGCCCAACCGAGGAACUGCGCCCGAGACUGCUUCUCUUGAGUCCCGGAGAGGAAGAUGGAAUUCCCGGUGUAGCGGUGAAAUGUGUAGAGAUCGGGAGGAACACCGGUGGCGAAGGCGGUCUUCUGGACGGUGACUGACGCUGAGGCGCGAAAGCGUGGGGAGCAAACGGG
rnacentral:rRNA from 1 species